CAAUUAUACACUAGUACAAACCACAGUUACACAUUCCACUAUUUCAGUGACUAUUGGAGGUACAGUGCAAUCCAUGUUAUCUUCCUUGAAUAUUUCAUCAACAAAAACAACUUUGUCAACUCACACAUGUACAUGUACUCCUUGUACAGAACAAAGUAGUAAUACUGUUAGUGUAUUAGCUAUUAGUUUCCCC